GCGGCCCGGACCGGGAAGUGUCAAGCGGUAGCCGGGUUCCCCUACCUUCGCUGCCAGUACUGCUGAGCCCGGACCUCCUUGCCCAGGUCCAGGCCAGCCGCCAUGACGAACAUGUACUCCUUGGAUGGGAUUCUGGUAUUUGGUUUGCUCUUUGUUUGCACCUGUACCUAUUUCAAGAAAGUACCUCGUCUCGAAACCUGGCUGCUAUCAGAGAAGAAGGGCGUUUGGGGUGUGUUUUACAAAGCUGCAGUGAUCGGAACCAGGCUGCAUGCUGCUGUGGCAAUUGCCUGUGUUGUAAUGGCCAUUUACAUUCUGUUUAUAAAAUGAAUUUCCAAAGUAAUCCAACUCCUCGACUGCCACCCCAGGGGACAGAG